CACACCAUAGAGUGUGUAUAGACCCUUAUAACAAGAAAAACAAAAACAAUGCUUGAACGUUCUAUUUUGUUCCCCAUCUACUUCCGCUUCAUUAAGGUGUGUAAGGCC